AUACGGAGGGUGCAAGCGUUAAUCGGAAUUACUGGGCGUAAAGCGUGCGUAGGCGGUUUAUUAAGUCAGAUGUGAAAGCCCCGGGCUUAACCUGGGAACUGCAUUUGAUACUGGUAGACUAGAGUAUGGUAGAGGGGGGUAGAAUUCCUAGUGUAGCGGUGAAAUGCGUAGAUAUUAGGAGGAAUACCAGUGGCGAAGGCGGCCCCCUGGACCAAUACUGACGCUGAGGUACGAAAGCGUGGGGAGCGAACAGGAUUAGAUACCCGGGUAGUCC
rnacentral:rRNA from 1 species